GGAGGGAUGGCCGAGUGGUUUAAGGCACCGGUCUUGAAAACCGGCGUGGGUGCAAGCCCACCGUGGGUUCGAAUCCCACUCCCUCCGCCA
rnacentral:tRNA from 2 species